GACGAACGCUGGCGGCGUGCUUAACACAUGCAAGUCGAACGGUAAGGCCCUUCGGGGUACACGAGUGGCGAACGGGUGAGUAACACGUGGGUGAUCUGCCCUGCACUUCGGGAUAAGCCUGGGAAACUGGGUCUAAUACCGGAUAGGACUCCGGACUGCAUGGUCUGGGGUGGAAAGCUUUUGCGGUGUGGGAUGGGCCCGCGGCCUAUCAGCUUGUUGGUGGGGUGAUGGCCUACCAAGGCGACGAGGGGUAGCCGGCCUGAGAAGGUGACCGGCCAAACUGGGACUGAGAUACGGCCCAGACUCCUACGGGAGGCAGCAGUGGGGAAUAUUGCACAAUGGGCGCAAGCCUGAUGCAGCGACGCCGCGUGAGGGAUGACGGCCUUCGGGUUGUAAACCUCUUUCAGCAUCGACGAAGCGAAAGUGACGGUAGGUGCAGAAGAAGGACCGGCCAACUACGUGCCAGCAGCCGCAGUAA
rnacentral:rRNA from 1 species